rnacentral:rRNA from 1 species
CCUACGGGAGGCAGCAGUGGGGAAUUUUGGACAAUGGGCGCAAGCCUGAUCCAGCCAUGCCGCGUGCGGGAAGAAGGCCUUCGGGUUGUAAACCGCUUUUGUCAGGGAAGAAACGCUCUGGGCUAAUACCCUGGGGUAAUGACGGUACCUGAAGAAUAAGCACCGGCUAACUACGUGCCAGCAGCCGCGGUAAUACGUAGGGUGCAAGCGUUAAUCGGAAUUACUGGGCGUAAAGCGUGCGCAGGCGGCUAUGCAAGACAGAUGUGAAAUCCCCGGGCUCAACCUGGGAACUGCAUUUGUGACUGCAUAGCUGGAGUACGGCAGAGGGGGAUGGAAUUCCGCGUGUAGCAGUGAAAUGCGUAGAUAUGCGGAGGAACACCGAUGGCGAAGGCAAUCCCCUGGGCCUGUACUGACGCUCAUGCACGAAAGCGUGGGGAGCAAACAGGAUUAGAUACCCUGGUAGUCCACGCCCUAAACGAUGUCAACUGGUUGUUGGGAGGGUUUCUUCUCAGUAACGUAGCUAACGCGUGAAGUUGACCGCCUGGGGAGUACGGCCGCAAGGUUGAAACUCAAAUGAAUUGACGG